UACGUAGGGUGCAAGCGUUAAUCGGAAUUACUGGGCGUAAAGCGUGCGCAGGCGGUUUUGUAAGGCAGAUGCGAAAUCCCCGGGCUUAACCUGGGAACUGCGUUUGAAACUACAAGGCUAGAGUGUGGCAGAGGGGGGUGAAAUUCCACGUGUAGCAGUGAAAUGCGUAGAGAUGUGGAGGAACACCGAUGGCGAAGGCAGCCCCCUGGGUUAACACUGACGCUCAGGCACGAAAGCGUGGGGAGCAAACAGG
rnacentral:rRNA from 1 species